rnacentral:rRNA from 1 species
GUUGUUGCGACAGCAUUCCUGCGUAGUACGAGAGGAACCGCAGGUACGGACCAAUGGCACAAUACUUGUUCGAGCGAACAGUGGUAUGACGCUACGUCCGUUGGAUUAUGCCUGAACGCCUCUAAGGUCGUAUCCGUGCUGGACUGCAAUGAUAAAUAAGGGGCAAUUUGCAUUGUAUGGCUUCUAAACCAUUAAAAGUCUGUAAUUUAUUUUACAAACGACAAUGGAUGUGAUGCCAAUGUAAUUUGUAACAUAGUAAAUUGGGAGGAUCAUUGAUCACCUGGUGCCGCGCUAGUUACAUAUAAAAACAUUAUUUAAUACAAUGACAAAGCCUAGAAUCAAUUGUAAACGACUUUUGUAACAGGCAAGGUGUUGUAAGUGGUUGAGCAGCUGCCAUACUUCGAUCCACUGAAGCUUAUCCUUUGCUUGAUGAUUCGA